rnacentral:rRNA from 1 species
GACGAACGCUGGCGGCGUGCUUAACACAUGCAAGUCGAACGGAAAGGCCCUGCUUUUGUGGGGUGCUCGAGUGGCGAACGGGUGAGUAACACGUGAGUAACCUGCCCUUGACUUUGGGAUAACUUCAGGAAACUGGGGCUAAUACCGGAUAGGAGCUCCUGCUGCAUGGUGGGGGUUGGAAAGUUUCGGCGGUUGGGGAUGGACUCGCGGCUUAUCCGCUUGUUGGUGGGGUAGUGGCUUACCAAGGCUUUGACGGGUAGCCGGCCUGAGCGGGUGACCGGCCACAUUGGGACUGAGAUACGGCCCAGACUCCUACGGGAGGCAGCAGUGGGGAAUAUUGCACAAUGGGCGGAAGCCUGAUGCAGCAACGCCGCGUGCGGGAUGACGGCCUUCGGGUUGUAAACCGCUUUCGCCUGUGACGAAGCGUGAGUGACGGUAAUGGGUAAAGAAGCACCGGCUAACUACGUG